UUUUAGAAUGCAGUGACCUAUGAUGAUGUGCAUGUCGACUUCACUUGGGAAGAAUGGACUUUACUGGAUCCUUCCCAGAAGAAUCUCUACAAAGAGGUGAUGAUUGAGACCUAUAGGAACCUCACUAUUAUAGGAUACAAUUGGGAAAACCAUAAUACUCAAGAGCAUCCUCAAAGUUCUAGAGGAGAUAAAAGGUCAUUAAGAAUUUCUUUCCAUUUUUCUCAAGUGAGUUGAUUAUUUACUUCUGUUUAGAGCAAUGUCUCCAGUUGCUUAGGCUUGCCUCAUACUAUGCAGUUGAGAAUUGCUUUGAACAUCUAAUUCUGCUUCUGCUGCCCAGUGUGGGAAAGAAAGUUCUGCAAACUGCUUCAAGACUGGACCUAAACUGGUCAUUGUGAAGUAAAAAUAGACUGGUAAAUGAGUGUCCUCCAA